ensembl:lncRNA
AUGCCCCGCCCCGCCCCCGAGCGGCUUCCCAUCCGCCCCCGCGGGAGCGCGCGGACAAUGAGCGGGGGGCAAGCAGCUGGCCGGCGCGGCGCGGCGCGGCGGGGCUCUCGCGAGAUCAGGGUGAGCGGCUUCCCCCCCCCCUCUCGCGAGAACUGGGUCGGCGGCGCCUCCCUCUCCGCCCCCCCGCCGGGCCACAUCCACACACGGAGGGCGGGGCGGGGGCCGUCGCCACCGGGCGGAGCGGCGCGGAGCGGAGGCGCGGAGCGGAGUCGAGCGGCCGCCGGGCACGUGAGCAAGGCGGGCUGCGGGCGGGCGUGCUCUCGCGAGUGCGGCGAGACGUGCGCGGGGUUCGCGCAGCCGCCUCCCUCCGUCCCUCCCUUCCUCUCUCCCUCCCUCCCCCGCCGCUGGUGCGACAGCGAACGGGCGGCGCCGCCGCGCUCCCUUCCCGCCGGCCCGCAGGUAGGAGCGGCGCUGCGGCCGCCCCCGGCCCGCCGCCAUGUUGGGAAUCGGCGCGGGCGGCCGCCGCUCCGCGGGGAGGGGGGGAAGCGGCCGUUAGGAACGGCCGCGGGGGGGAGCGGGCUGGGCGCGCAUGCGGGAGCGGCCAGCCCGGGCAGGCCGGUGCCGCGGCCCCGCCACUGCCCCCGGGCCGCCCGCAGCGCCCGCCGGCGCCCCCGCGCGCUGCCUGGCGGUACUGCGGGCGGGCCGCGCCGCGCGGCCUCCGGCGGGCCCGAACAAAGCGCGGCCCGGCCCGGGCCCGCGGCGCCCCUUGCCGGCAGGGCGGGCUCUCGGCGGCGGCCCCCUGCCCUGGCCGCCCCUCCCCCCCCUCGGGCCGGCGGGAGGGCUUCACAUCGGUCGCUCGGGAAAACGUGUUCCCGGGGUGGACCCGGCUGCAUCGGCGCUUCGGCCCCGGCUGGAGCUCGGGCCCAGCGCCCCGGUAGCGCGGCCGGGCCUGCCGCCUCCCCACGGCGUGUGGCCUCCCCCAUGGGGAGGGCCGUCACUCUCCAGAUCUGCUGGGUUUGA